rnacentral:rRNA from 1 species
UACGAAGGGGGCUAGCGUUGCUCGGAAUCACUGGGCGUAAAGCGCACGUAGGCGGAUCUUUAAGUCAGGGGUGAAAUCCCAAGGCUCAACCUUGGAACUGCCUUUGAUACUGGGGAUCUCGAGUCCGGAAGAGGUGAGUGGAACUGCGAGUGUAGAGGUGAAAUUCGUAGAUAUUCGCAAGAACACCAGUGGCGAAGGCGGCUCACUGGUCCGGUACUGACGCUGCGGUGCGAAAGCGUGGGGAGCAAACAGG